UUAAAAUUUCUUAUAACUGCGUGUUAUUGUGGAAAGAUGCUGAAAAAUAUGAAAAUUCUUUGUACAGCAAGUGAACUACUUCUUUAAAAAUAAAACAGUGUCUUAACAUGUCAGCAAGAGUGGCACAACAACUGAAAAGUAUGAUGUACCUUUGAAGUUCUACAGAAUAUGAGACGAAAAUGACUCCAGAUUCCAGCUGAGUGUUCUGUGACAGCAUUACUAAGAGCGAGGUUGACUGGAGUUGAACUAAACAUUCACAUAAUCUAUAUGCUCUGCACCGUAAGGCUUCUGUCACAGUUAACGUUUGAAAGAUAAAUCUACCUUUUACUUGGCAUCAAAACUAAGGUAUUAAACUGCUGGGAGCUGUGGCUUUCACUGUGCAGAGAGGGACUCGCUCGAAGUCAGUUUUCAGUAGGCGUUUCCAGCCAACUAAUUAUACUCAAAACCACAGCAUAUCCAGACUCCUGAGGGCUGGCAAAGCGGCUUCUUCCUCCGUCAAUUUCUUCAGGAAUUCUUCUUUCCGGACAGAUGCUAUUGGUUUCCUGAGAGACUGGAAGUAAUGCGUAGUCUCUGUUUUACAAUUAGUUCAUAUCUGUUAAAAUACCUUGAUAUUGUUUUGUUUUAUUGUAUACUUAUUAUCUAUUGUUGGUUUCAUUCGGAUCUACUAGUAAUAUUUGUAAAAUUGGUGUUGUACCGUUGAAAUAAAUAAAUAGAAUGGAUGGAAGUUUACAUCUAAUCACAACAUA